ACAUACGACCAUCGGCAAAAUAAAUCACUGGCUCUCGUUCGUUCGCCGCACGUUAAGUCUUUGACCGGCGGACUAGUAGUCAGGUGGGAGACCACUGGCGAAUCCCCGCUGUUGUAUGUU
rfam:Cochliobolus heterostrophus C5 unplaced genomic scaffold COCHEscaffold_7, whole genome shotgun sequence.